AUUGAACGCUGGCGGAAUGCUUUACACAUGCAAGUCGAACGGCAGCACGGACUUCGGUCUGGUGGCGAGUGGCGAACAGGUGAGUAAUGUAUCGGAACGUGCCCAGUCGUGGGGGAUAACGUAGUGAAAAUUACGCUAAUACCGCAUACGAUCUAUGGAUGAAAGCGGGGGAUCGCAAGACCUCGCGCGAUUGGAGGGGCCGAUAUCAGAUUAGGUAGUUGGUGGGGUAAAGGCCCACCAAGCCAACGAUCUGUAGCUGGUCUGAGAGGACGACCAGCCACACUGGAACUGAGACACGGUCAGACUCCUACGGGAGGCAGCAGUGGGGAAUUUUGGACAAUGGGCGAAAGCCUGAUCCAGCCAUUCCGCGUGCAGGAUGAAGGCCCUCGGGUUGUAAACUGCUUUUGUACAGAACGAAAAGGUUUCUACUAAUACUAGGAGCUCAUGACGGUACUGUAAGAAUAAGCACCGGCUAACUACGUGCCAGCCGCCGCGGUAA
rnacentral:rRNA from 1 species